rnacentral:misc_RNA from 1 species
AGAUCAUGAAAGACUUCUUAAUAGGUAAUAAAUUUAAAAUUUGUGAUUUUCAUGAGCAUAGUCAACAACUCAACAUAGAGCCUAUUGAAGACUGUUCUAUCUUUUGAGUAAUUUUAAUUUGGCCAAAGUUCCAAAUUGGCCACCUAAUUUAUACUAAGCAUUUUAUAUUUCCCCUAUAUUUCAGUUGUAGUAUAUCAAUCCCUUUAGUAUUCACAAUUGGUUAAUUAAGUCUAAUUAUAACUGUCAUUAAUGCAUGAAAGCAUACACCAUUAAUUGGCAAAAAUUAAAAUUUCUUUUGGUACAAUUGGCAUUGAUUAGGACUUAAAUUUGAGAUCUUAUAGUCCUAAAGAUGACUCCAGUGCCAUUAAAGUAAAUCUCAUUGGUGGCAAAAAUAAAUAUUAAAUUAAUUAAUUUGAUAAAAGAUCAAUUUUAAAAUUGCUCAAUUCUAUUUACUAAACUUACAAAAUACUAUGUUUUAAAUCUUUUGAGGAGGGAAUUCUAGUUCUAGAACCUCCCUAAUUCAAUUACCACUAUUGCGGGAUCCAUGACUGAUUAUCUUAAUGUUUAUCUUACUUUUUUUUUUUUCAAAAAGAAAAUAUAUGUUUCAAAACAGGUUCAAAUUUGAGGGUUAAAACCCUAGUAGAAUGGUGUGAGAGAAAGGGAGAUGGUGGUGGAUUUGUUCACCAUCAUCACUUCCUCCUAUCUUUAUAAGGCUAACUGGCCUAGGAAAUCAAAUCCUUCUCUCUUCAAUCUUAAGGAACCAAUUUAACAUAUAUCCACUUUCUACUCCUAAGAUAUUGACAAGCUCCAAAAGGUGCUCAUCAAGUUCAACACUAAUGGUGGCUGCAAAUUUUCAUCUUUGAGCUUGGUGGAAAUUUAAAAGUGAUGGGUGGAUAUGCGCUUACCAAGUUAUGGGAUGCACUUGACAUGUAUGGUAAGAAUUCACUUGGAAGAGGUAUUGAUGAUAAAAAUUCUAAUGGAAAAAGUAUUGCAGUGGUUGGCAGCUAAGCAUGGGUGUGAUCUGGUUUCGGUUCUAAUGGCUGUGGACCAGACCGAAGGGUUCCACUUGGUUCCAACUUGGUUUUCUUCAAUUCAGCUCAUCUGGUUUGAUUUGGUUUGAUCAAUUCUGAUCGUCAAAAUUUUUUAUUAAGUGAAACUCCAGUUUAGACCCAGAAUUGGACCAAUCCUGUCAAAAUCGGUCCGGUCCAGUUCAAGGUGGUUCUAGUCAAAUGGGUUUGACUGGUUAUAGUCCAAACCUGGACUGGGCCCAUGUCUACUAGCAGCCAUGGCUAAGCAAAAAUGAUUAAUAUAAGAUAAGUUUUAUUAGAGAAGUCUAGGGUUUGUGGGUUUUAUCUAGUUUAAUGAUGCAGUGGGAACAAAAAGAGAAGUAAGAAUAGAAACGUUGAAAUCGCUAUGUGUAUUAAUAUUUAAUAUUUGAUCGACUACAAUUGAAAGACAACAUUGACUAGGUAUGAGUUUAGUGGCCAAUAUAGACAUCUGGCCUUUAGUUUAAGCAAUGUUCUUUGGGCAUUUCCUGAGACAGAGACUGCUUCUUUACAUAAAGUAGAAUGAUGCAGAAGAGUAAAAGUAAUCCUGUCCCAUUCUGUGGGAUUCUGGUUUAACUUGUUUGGUUUUCUUUCUUCAUUAUGAUAUGUCUAGUACUUAUGUUAUAUCAAAGCUUAUAUGAUAUCUUUAAUCUAGAUUACAGGUAUAUGACUUUUU